rnacentral:tRNA from 1 species
GGAGAGGUGACCGAGUGGCUUAAGGUGCACGCCUGGAAAGCGUGUGUACGCCAAAAGUGUACCGAGGGUUCGAAUCCCUCUCUCUCCG